GGGGCUGUGGCUCAGUGACAGAGCACUUGCCUAGCAUGUGCAAGGCACUGAGUUCGAUUCUCAGCACCACA
rnacentral:tRNA from 1 species